AAUAUGAUUGACAGGGAGGAUUCUAGAACAAAGGGUUGGUGCUAAGCAAGACUGACAGGGAGGGACCUGGAUAAAGAGGCCACAGUACUGCAAGCGAUAUUGAAUUGUAGCUCUGUUAAUGCAGCCCCUUGUAACUACUUCUCUGACCUGGCAAGUAUUUCUGGCAGAACAAUACUCACAGAUCAACUGAGAUGCGGAGAAUUCUGGAACCUCUGUUGAAGUCAGGUGGAGUGGUGUCCACUGGAAGACUUCUUGAUACCAAAAGUAAUUCUGAAAACCCUGAAGUCCACCUCUGUUUGGAAAAAACAGGUAUUUCUCUAGCAGUAGUUGUGUCUGGGAGAUACUGUCAAAAUCCAGUGUCUAGAAAUGUUCUGUGAGCUCUUGGGACUUGAUACUACAUUUCUAUACUACAUUUCUUGCAUAAGAGUUUAUACCCAUUGUUGUAGAACA